AUGGCUCUGAAGUCCCCUCUUUAGCUACUUAUUGUGUUGCUUGACAGAAGUCAGGAUCAAUGCAUCAACUUUGGCCUACUUCUCCAUCUGAGCUGGAAAAUAUUUUUUGCAAAGUGUAUAGGGGAGUAUUCGCUUUUUUUCCAAAACCUAGUAUUUCAUACACAAAGUUACCAAUUUUGUACAUACUACUAUUUGAUGUACUAGAAAGGAAAAGAAGGCAUUGCUGACUUAUCAUUGACACAGUGGUCAUGCUGACAUUCUUGGCAACGAGUGGUCCCUCCAAACUUUUUUCUUCUAUCCAUAACCAAGGAAGACCAUUUCUCCUGCCUUUACUUUUGCUGCUUGGCAUUUGGCAAUAGCCCUUUGAGUUUAUCUCAUAAUAAAAUAUGCACAGUUCUGUCUACCAGUAAGCUUCCUUCUUUAAUUUUGUUCCCAGUUUUUCAGUAGCAUCCAUUAGUCAUUCAAGGAGCUUCCUUCUGUCUUAGCACCCAGGAAGAAGCUGCUGGUAACAGUUCAGGAAGACAUGGCUCUGUAGGCAUUUACCCAAAAG